AGCGCUGCAGAGUUUUCAGGUUUCGUCUCUUUUUUAUUUUUUUUCCUUCCCACAUUAUUUGUUUCGUGUUCUUUUUUUUUUUUUACUCUCCUCGCGCCGUUUCCGUUUAUACACGCGCCGCGCACACAUAACGGCGACGUAUACUGCGCGUGCGAACCGUGUAAGGGCGCUAGCGCGUGUGAGCUAACCGCGUCAGUCGCCGACCGUGUCGUCCGCGGUGCAAAUCGUAUCCGACCCCGUCGUCCAGUCCGCCGUGUUUGCGCGUGUGUGCGUGCCUUCGUGUGUCUUCGCGUGCGUGCGUGUACGUUUACGCGCGCGCGCGCCCGCGCUCGUGUGUGUGUGUGUGUGUGAUAACGACCGACAGCUGAGCGAAGAGACGUACUUUGUUCUAUUCGUGUUCCGACGCGCGCGAUGCGUCCUAUCUCGUUCACCGUCACCGCCGCCGCCGCCGCCGCCGUCGUGGUCGUCGUAGUCUCUUGAUUCGCUUACUCUUUUCCUUAAUUAUUACCCAUUUGUUAUUAAUCGAAAUUUUCCUACUCUCUUUCUCACUCUCUCUCUCUCUCUCUCUGUCUUUUUCCUUCCACCAUACGUCCUUCAUUACCCACACGCUCCGUUUCGCGCUCUCUUCCUCUCUCUCCGCUUUAGACGCUCGUCUUCCCAGACAAGACCGUCAUCGCAACGAAUACGAUUAACAAAAAUAACGUAGAAACGUCUCCAUCUUCUUCUCUGUUGUCUUUAUAUAAAUCUCACACACACUCACACUAACAGCUUUUGGCCCCGCAUGCCGCAACAUGUCCUACCGCUCGCUGGCCGCAGACCGCGUGUACAAAGCGACCACGGACGACCUGCAGCCGGAGCGGAAGAACUCGGUCAGUACCGUGUUUAAAAAGGCUUUUGGCACACUAAGCUCCAGCCCCCGGCGCAGGCUGUCCGAGCCGCUUAUGUCCGGCGUGACCGUAAUCGGCACCGGAAACAUCAACACGCCGCUCAGAAAAAUGCCUACGUCUGCCAUAUCCGAAGAGGCGUCGUUGCUCAGCGGAAUGCGGUCGGAGACUCUAGAGGAAGUGGAACUGACCGGUGUCCGUCCAUCACUGCCGGCCGUCCGGACGUUCACCAGGGGCAACACCGGUGUGGAAGAGGUGUACGUGGACACGGACAAUGGCCCGUUGUGCGUGGCCGUGCAGGGCGAUCGGUCCAAGCCGCCCAUACUCACUUACCACGAUCUAGGACUGAACUAUGUCACGAGCUUUCAGACGUUCUUCAAUUACUGUGAGAUGCGGACCUUAAUGUCAAAUUUUUGUGUGUAUCACGUGAACGCACCCGGCCAAGAAGAAGGAGCAGCACCGUUAUCGGACGAUUACGUUUUUCCGAGUAUGGAUGAGUUAGCGAAUCAGUUGGACCACGUAUUAAGAUAUUUUGGAUUGGAAUCGGUUGUGGGACUUGGAGUUGGAGCUGGAGGAAAUAUUUUAGCACGAUUUGCUUAUAGACAACCAACUAAGGUUGAAGCACUGUGUCUUAUCAACGUGGUACCAACGACAGCUGGUUGGAUCGAAUACGGUUAUCAAAAGCUAAAUGCUAGAUAUUUGAAAUCUAAAGGGAUGACACAAGGGGUGAUGGACUACUUGAUGUGGCAUCAUUUUGGCAAAGGCACCGAAGAAAGGAAUCACGAUUUAGCCAGAGUAUACCGAGAGUAUUUCGAACACAGUGUGCACCCAGGAAAUUUGGCCGCGUUCAUUGAUUCGUAUGUGAAACGGACGGAUUUGCCAAUCAGCAGAAGUACGCCUACCGUCGAAUCGUUUCCGGCUGGUCGUAGGCCCAGCAUGACCACCACGUUGCAGAUGCCCAUUAUCAACGUGUGUGGUGCACUGUCACCACAUCAAGAAGACACUGUAAUACUGAAUUCGAGACUAGAUCCAACCAAGUCGUCAUGGAUGAAGGUAUCUGAUUGUAGCAUGGUGCUGGAAGAAGUGCCUCAAAAAAUGUGUGAAGCGUUGCGGCUUUUCCUCCAAGGACUCGGUUACGCUGUGAGACUCGGCCGGCCACCGUUGACCGUAUCCAGAUCGGCUGAAGGUAAAAAUGUAAUAGCUAAUACAUUUAGCGCACGGAUGCACGAAUAGUUAGCGCACGCACACACCAAAUACCACCCUCUCCCAACCGCGGGCAAAUUGAUCGAAACAAUAUAUCAGCUUCGAGAAACGAAAUUUGUACAUUGAUAUCCAAAUCCAUUAAACAGUCCGCGUCCAAAGACAGCGUACGCAGUUCACCAUGGCCGUUCAGAAUCACCGAAAACCCGCUGACG
rnacentral:misc_RNA from 1 species